GCAUGAAUUGCCACCCACAAAUUUGAAAAUUAGAAGCCCACUUUCAGUCUGCCCUGUUCUUUCACAUACCAUGGUCUUGGCAUUGCUCCUUCAGGUCUGCAAAGCAUGAGGUGCAACAUCACACAGCAAAAUUUGGUCUUGAAGGCUCGUAUCGUUUAUGAACAGGAGAAUCAGGUAGCUGGAGCCCAUCCUGUGAAGAUGAAUAUCAUGUCUCGUUUAGUUUCCCUUCUCUUCCUG
rnacentral:misc_RNA from 1 species